ACUUAGGUAGUUUAAUUAAAACGUUGAUUUGUGGUGUCAGAAAUAUAAUAGUUAUUCUAGGUU
rnacentral:tRNA from 1 species